ACGGGGUGCAGCAGGCGCGAAAACUCCACAAUGUACGCCAGUACGAUGGGGUUAUCUCGAGUGCCGACUGAAAAAGCCGGCUUUUCCACAGAGUAAUAUCCUGUGGGAAUAAGAGGGGGGCAAGACUGGUGUCAGCCGCCGCGGUAACACCAGCCCCUCGAGUGGUGGGGACUAUUAUUUGGCCUAAAGCGUCCGUAGCCGGCUGCAGCCGUCACCCGUUAAAUCCAGCGUCUCAAGCGUUGGACUGCGGGUGAUACCCUGCAGCUUGAGGGUGGGACAGGUUAGCGGUAUUCCCGGGGUAGGGGCGAAAUCCUUUGAUCCCGGGAGGACCACCAGUGGCGAAGGCUGCUGACUAGAACACGCCUGACGGUCAGGGACGAAAGCUGGGGUAGCGAACCGGAUUAGAUACCCGGGUAGUCCCAGCUGUAAACGAUGCACGCUAGGUGUUGGGUCGGCCACGCGCCGCCCCAGUGCCGCAGGGAAGCCGUUAAGCGUGCCGCCUGGGGAGUACGGCCGCAAGGCUGAAACUUAAAGGAAUUGGCGGGGGAGCAC
rnacentral:rRNA from 1 species